GCGAUGAGCUCGUUUGCGUAAGACGGACGGACAUUCCUGUUUCAGGAACAUGUUGUGGAGCAUGGUUCGGACGCCGCAAAUUUCGAGAAAGCACUCUGUCCAAAAGACAGAGUG
rnacentral:sRNA from 1 species